GACGAACGCUGGCGGCGUGCUUAACACAUGCAAGUCGAACGGAAAGGCCCUGCUUGCAGGGUCCUCGAGUGGCGAACGGGUGAGUAACACGUGGGUGAUCUGCCCUGCACUUCGGGAUAAGCCUGGGAAACUGGGUCUAAUACCGGAUAGGAGCCAUUUUUAGUGUGAUGGUUGGAAAGUUUUUUCGGUGUAGGAUGAGCUCGCGGCCUAUCAGCUUGUUGGUGGGGUAAUGGCCUACCAAGGCGGCGACGGGUAGCCGGCCUGAGAGGGUGGACGGCCACAUUGGGACUGAGAUACGGCCCAGACUCCUACGGGAGGCAGCAGUGGGGAAUAUUGCACAAUGGGCGCAAGCCUGAUGCAGCGACGCCGCGUGGGGGAUGACGGCCUUCGGGUUGUAAACUACUUUCGCUGGGGACGAAGCUUUUUGUGACGGUACCUAGAUAAGAAGCACCGGCUAACUACGUG
rnacentral:rRNA from 1 species